ACAGAAUACCGGGAGAGGGGAAAGGUAAGAGGGGAGUACCAGGAGAGGGCCAGGAGAGGGGAAAGGUAAUAGGGGAGUACCAGGAGAGGGCCAGGAGAGGGGAAAGGUAAGAGGGGAGUACCAGGAGAGGGCCAGGAGAGGGGAAAGGAAAGAGGGGAGUACCAGGAGAGGAUCAGGAGAGGGGAAAGGUAAGAGCGGAGUACCAGGAGAGGACCAGGAGAGGGGAAAGGUAAGAGGGGAGUACCAGGAGAGGGCCAGGAGAGGGGAAAGGUAAGAGGGGAGUACCAGGAGAGGACCAGACAGGGGAAAGGUAAGAGAGGAGUACCAGGAGAGGACCA